UGACACGAGGGACUUUCUUCGUCCUUCGAAAAUUAUAGUUUUACGCAGUGACCUACGUUCCGACGUCAAAAGUAUGGAAGGCUUGGAAGAUGGCUUUGUGUAGACGACGGUACUUGAAGGAUCACUGUUUUUGCUCUGAGCAAGUUGGCCAUCGAUAGCCUAGCCACCAAUAUGACACAACAAUAAGGUGGGGAGUUUGCGACGGAGGCGGAUUCAAAGAGAAUAGCCGCACAAAAUAACUUCAGACAGCUGAGCCGGGGCGGAUGUGAUGAACUAGCGCUCAAUCGUCACGGCAACAUUGACAUUUCGAUGCAAGACCAAAUCUGCGCAGGAUAGCAUCCACAGGGAUCCAUAAGAAAACUGACAUAAUUGGCACCGAGAGGCACAACCACAGUCGGCCUUUAGAAGAUGUUUGAGUGGAGAUACUGGAUUAGCAUAAUCAGACAAUCUCAAUGAACACCAGAAAAGUGUUCAUCACUACUGGAAGAACUGGCAGCUGCAGCAGUGCCGUCCAGUUCUGGCAGCUGAUGGGCUGGUAGCGGUCCAAUGGUAACGGGUAAAUUUGUAUCCACACUUGUAGAAAGUAUGAACCUAUAUAUUACGCGGGUUGUAUUUGACUUAACCUAAUCUUC